rnacentral:tRNA from 1 species
GGGGUGUUGGUUCAGUAGUAGAGCUCCUGCCUAGCAUGCAUGAGGCACUGGGUUCAUCCCUGGCACCUCA